UGAAGUUUUCUUCGGAAAACGGAUUAGCGGCGGACGGGUGAGUAACACGUGGGCAACCUGCCUUAUAGAGGGGAAUAGCCUUCCGAAAGGGAGAUUAAUACCGCAUAAUAUUAUCGAAUGGCAUCAUUUGAUAAUCAAAGGAGCAAUCCGCUAUAAGAUGGGCCCGCGUCGCAUUAGUUAGUUGGUGGGGUAAUGGCCUACCAAGACGACGAUGCGUAGCCGACCUGAGAGGGUGAUCGGCCACAUUGGGACUGAGACACGGCCCAGACUCCUACGGGAGGCAGCAGUGGGGAAUAUUGCACAAUGGGGGAAACCCUGAUGCAGCAACGCCGCGUGAGCGAUGAAGGUCUUCGGAUCGUAAAGCUCUGUCUUUAGGGAUGAUAAUGACAGUACCUAAGGAGGAAGCCACGGCUAACUACGUGCCAGCAGCCGCGGUAAUACGUAGGUGGCAAGCGUUAUCCGGAAUUAUGGGCGUAAAGGGAGCGUAGGCGGAUAUUUAAGUGGGAUGUGAAAUACAUGAGCUCAACUCGUGUGCUGCAUUCCAAACUGGAUAUCUAGAGUGCAGGAGAGGAGAGUGGAAUUCCUAGUGUAGCGGUGAAAUGCGUAGAGAUUAGGAAGAACACCAGUGGCGAAGGCGACUCUCUGGACUGUAACUGACGCUGAGGCUCGAAAGCGUGGGGAGCGAACAGGAUUAGAUACCCUGGUAGUCCACGCCGUAAACGAUG
rnacentral:rRNA from 1 species